UUCACAUAAAAUUUCGAGAGUGAUUAUAAAAUGGGGAAUGCAAGAAAGUUAGAAAAAGAGUGGGAAAAUGAUGGCUCCAGACAGACGUGUCAGUCUCCCGAUUUCCUGGCGCCGCGCUCUUAUCACUUAACAAGAGCACCAAUUGAAUAUUCAAUAUUC
ensembl:ncRNA T04F3.11 ncRNA